ACGACCCCCCAGAGCCGGAAAGUUGGUCAAACUCGGUCAUUUAGAGGAAGUAAAAGUCGUAACAAGGUUUCCGUAGGUGAACCUGCGGAAGGAUCAUUACUGAGUGAGGGCCCCUCGGGGUCCAACCUCCCACCCGUGUUUAACGUACCUUGUUGCUUCGGCGGGCCCGCCUCACGGCCGCCGGGGGGCAUCCGCCCCCGGGCCCGCGCCCGCCGAAGCCACCUGUGAACGCUGUCUGAAGUAUGCAGUCUGAGACAAUUAUUAAAUUAAUUAAAACUUUCAACAACGGAUCUCUUGGUUCCGGCAUCGAUGAAGAACGCAGCGAAAUGCGAUAACUAAUGUGAAUUGCAGAAUUCAGUGAAUCAUCGAGUCUUUGAACGCACAUUGCGCCCUCUGGUAUUCCGGAGGGCAUGCCUGUCCGAGCGUCAUUGCUGCCCUCCAGCCCGGCUGGUGUGUUGGGCCCCGCCCCCCUUCCCGGGGGGGCGGGCCCGAAAGGCAGCGGCGGCACCGCGUCCGGUCCUCGAGCGUAUGGGGCUUUGUCACCCGCUCUUGCAGGCCCGGCCGGCGCCAGCCGACCCCCUCAAUCUAUUUUUUCAGGUUGACCUCGGAUCAGGUAGGGAUACCCGCUGAACUUAAGCAUAUCAAUAAGCGGAGGAAAAGAAACCAACCGGGAUUGCCCUAGUAACGGCGAGUGAAGCGGCAAGAGCUCAAAUUUGAAAGCUGGCUCCUUCGGGGUCCGCAUUGUAAUUUGCAGAGGAUGCUUCGGGAGCGGUCCCCAUCUAAGUGCCCUGGAA
rnacentral:rRNA from 1 species